rnacentral:lncRNA from 1 species
AGUCAGUGUAAAGGAAAGUCUAAGGAUGGAUGGUUUCGUUGGAGUUCAGAAUGCUUUUUCCCUGUCACCUUAUUAAAACCUAAAAUAAAGCUACUUAAAAUUCUAACCCAGAAGUUUGCUAGAUGAGGAAGUUGAUGCAAGCUGAAGAAGUUAAGUGUCUUGCCUAGGUUCAUACAACUGUCAAGUGGCAGAACCAGGAUUCGAAUUCCUGUCUUCUGAUUUCCAGGUUGGUGUUUCUUUUACAAUAUUCUGGCUGCUGUAAAAAAGAAGUUGGGGGGUAGGCAGGGU